rnacentral:rRNA from 1 species
GAGUUUGAUCUUGGCUCAGAUUGAACGCUGGCGGCAGGCCUAACACAUGCAAGUCGAGCGGUAGAGAGAAGCUUGCUUCUCUUGAGAGCGGCGGACGGGUGAGUAAUGCCUAGGAAUCUGCCUGGUAGUGGGGGAUAACGCUCGGAAACGGACGCUAAUACCGCAUACGUCCUACGGGAGAAAGCAGGGGACCUUCGGGCCUUGCGCUAUCAGAUGAGCCUAGGUCGGAUUAGCUAGUUGGUGAGGUAAUGGCUCACCAAGGCGACGAUCCGUAACUGGUCUGAGAGGAUGAUCAGUCACACUGGAACUGAGACACGGUCCAGACUCCUACGGGAGGCAGCAGUGGGGAAUAUUGGACAAUGGGCGAAAGCCUGAUCCAGCCAUGCCGCGUGUGUGAAGAAGGUCUUCGGAUUGUAAAGCACUUUAAGUUGGAGGAAGGCAGUAAUUAAUACUUUGCUGUUUUGACGUUACCGACUAGAAUAAGCACCGGCUAACUCUGUGCCAGCCG